rnacentral:lncRNA from 1 species
UAGCCAAAAAGAGGAGAUGCUAAUCCCACUGCUGGUUUCUUAAAUGCUUUUCAGGUCAGAAGAUGUUUUUAUAAUCAUGUGUCUAUGAUCAGAGACUUUUGGACAGAUACCAAAUCCAAACAUCAGCAAGGGGAACGGAGUGGAAUGGAAAAAUGGAUUUAUUCAUUCGUAGUCAAUAAAAAAGAGAAACUAAGGCACAGAGAGCCGAAUUGACUUCUCCAAACUCACUUAUGCCUUCCGCCUUUGAGAAACAACUUGCUUGCCUUUCACAGUGGUCAGUCGGACACAAGUUCCCAAGACAUAUGACCUACCCUAUCAGGCUCCCAGCACCGGGGACAUCCACUGCUGCUUUCCACAAUUGCCGUUUUCUUUCUGAUUAACUCCGAAGUGAGAAACAAGAGGGUAGGCAUCAGAAUUGCAUCUGAAAUUCAAGUGGAUACUUAAGGCAACUGUGCAUGAACUUUAGUGAAAAACUCCACACCAAAUCGAAACAUGCUCC